UACGUAGGGUGCAAGCGUUGUCCGGAAUUAUUGGGCGUAAAGAGCUCGUAGGCGGCCUGUCGCGUCUGCUGUGAAAACUCGGGGCUUAACCCCGGGCCUGCAGUGGGUACGGGCAGACUAGAGUGCGGUAGGGGAGACUGGAAUUCCUGGUGUAGCGGUGAAAUGCGCAGAUAUCAGGAGGAACACCGGUGGCGAAGGCGGGUCUCUGGGCCGUAACUGACGCUGAGGAGCGAAAGCAUGGGGAGCGAACAGG
rnacentral:rRNA from 1 species